rnacentral:lncRNA from 15 species
UAACAGCAUGGAAGGAAUGCAGAGGCCUAAUUGAAGCUAAAUAAAAAAGAAGCUAAUUGCUUCCUGGCGCUGCUCCACAUGUGACCCGCUACAGCAGCACUGUGGGCCUCAAACUCUUUCUCCCAUUUGCUCCUUCUGUCACCUGUUGUGUGAAGUGUUAUGUGUGAUUGGUGAACUGUAGGAACUGAAUUGCGCUUUGGGGAUAAUGUUGUAUAUUAUGUUGUGUUCAGACCAAAAACAAAGUGAAUUUUCGCUUCCCAUUACUCGCAACAUUUGUUCCCGCUAAAUUCAUAAACUGUGAAGACUAGUCAACUAAUGGACUAAUGACAAUUGUUGGUCACUAGGAAAAUUCUUAGUUGGUGGCAGCUCUAGUUAUACUAGUAACGUCUAUAUGACAUACAACAGCAGCCAAUGAGGUAUCUACAUUUCUAUACUAAGCUGGUAGACUCAUUCAGUUUAAUUUCUAGGGCACUGUUUCAUCUUGCUAUGUUUGUCUUCCGAUGUUUUCAUAACUGUAAACAUCGCAGAGACAAUGAUGAGCACCCUGUCUCAUGAAGACUUGCGGGAUCUUUUCCCAGGCCCAGAAAACUUUUUACGGAGAAAAAAAGUUAGUUGAUGUAAGCGAUUUCACCCUAAAAUGGAACAUUGCUUAUUUAUGCGUGUGCAGAGCUGUCAAUGCUACAUUGCAUUUUGUGUUGUCACAAAAACAAAAAUGUUGCUUUUUGCAGUAGUUCAUUAUUUUUUAUUUUACAGGAGUCUGGCCAAGAACACUCAAAAUUAUCGGGCAGUUCCUCCUUUAAUGCGUCACCCAUGCGACAGACAUCCACUCCUGUGAACGCAAGUCCUGCAAAGUACACAACCCCUGGAAAGGUUGUGAAGUUAUCCUUUCCAGAAUAUGUAUUGCACACUGACACAGAACUCGAGCAAGUACGACAACAGUACUUUGAGUUGUCGAAGAGAGGUGAGCAGUGCAACUGCCAGAUGUCAAAGGAGCUCAGAUGCCGGCUCAUUCUAAACACCAUGACCAGUAUGAUUGCAAUCCUGAGGGCAAAGGGGGAUGGAGAAUCACACAGAUACCCAUCAAAGCCAGAAAUUACAGCAAUGGCAAAGAGAAUAGUACUAUACUACCCCAUGCUGCAGGACCAAGGCCUCCAUACAUGGGUCACUGUGUACACACAGCUAUACAAAAUAUUGCAAAAUGUGAGAUCCCCCCAAAAAAGAACUCAAGAUGGGAGACAUUCAAAGAGCUCUACAUAG